AGGGGAUUAGUUUAAUGGUAAAACUGAGGACUCCAAACCCUCUGUUGUGGGUUCGACUCCUGCAUCCCCUGCCA
rnacentral:tRNA from 1 species